rnacentral:rRNA from 1 species
UACGUAGGGGGCAAGCGUUGUCCGGAAUUAUUGGGCGUAAAGCGCGUGUAGGCGGCUCGGUAAGUCUGCUGUGAAAGUCCAAGGCUCAACCUUGGAAAGCCGGUGGAUACUGUCGAGCUCGAGUCCGGAAGAGGCGAGUGGAAUUCCUGGUGUAGCGGUGAAAUGCGCAGGAUAUCAAGGAGGAACACCAAUGGCGAAGGCAGCUC